ACUAAGGCUUUAUGAAGUCCAACCUCUAGCUCGAACAUGACUUGGUCAGAUACAUAGUUUUGGCUCAGAAUAAUAAUUAAUCUUCGACUUCUGUCAAUGGAUGAUUGGAUGUCAUCAAUAACAGCUGAGAAAUAUCUCGUUCAAAAAUGCAUAGCUUAUAUCCAAAAUGAUCUUCUAAAGUUUUAGGCAGUAUCUCCAGAGCAAAUUUUCUCUCUUCACCACAUAUUGGUGUACAGUCUUUCAGAUAUGCUGAGAAAAAUUUAAUUUGCAAUACCCUUCCUGUUAUACACACACAUUGCGGCCAUCACCUUUGGAGCUAAGAAAAUGGAACGAACAAACCACAAUUUCUGAAGCAACAGGAACCAAUGGAUAACUUGUCCUUCAUGCUGUGGUUUUUUAGGGCAGCAAAAUGAAAAGUAUUCUUCUUCUAGCACAUUAAUAGAAGGUCAGAUCCUGAAGUUUAAAAUCAAAUACUUUGGCCACCUAAAGAGAAGGAAGGACUCACUGGAGAAGAGCCUAAUGCUGGGAAAGAUUGAGAGAAAAAGAAGAAAGGGACGACAGAGAAUAAGGUGGCUGGAUGGAGUCACUGAAGCAGUUGGCGUGAGCUUAAAUGAACUCCAGAGGAUGUAGAGGAGAGGAAGGCCUGGAGGAACGUUGUCCAUGGGGUUGCGAUGGGUCAGACAUAACUUCCCAACUAACAACAACAACAACAACACUAAUACAACUGUCUACAACAUUUAGAAUUUUAGAACAGGGGUCCCCCACAACCCUGGGCUGUGGCCUAUUCAGAACAGGAUGAUGCGAGCAGUGGGCUGGUGCACAUGUGCAUAUGCACAACGUGAGCAGUGUGCACAUGCAUGCAUGCGCAGCUUGACUUGCAUAAGUUGAGCUGUUUGCACAUGCUCAUGCAUACCAGACAACCAUUCAUGCAAGUCGAGCUGUGUGCACAUAUGCACGCUGGCCCACCACUCAUGCGGCAUGGUUUCCCCCUCCCCUCAUCAGUGGGGCCACCAAGCUGCAAAGUACCACUGCUGUAGAACAUUUAGAAUUCCAGAAUUAUCAGCUAACAAAGCUGCAUUAUUAUGUUUGUUCUUUGUAUUUGUCAACACGAUUCUGGCAGCCUGCAGACAUAUUUUUGAACAGCUUGUGCCAAAAGGCCAAGAAGCAACUAACUAAUACAAGGGCUGCCCCAUUUUUACACAUGUUGUACCUGCCAUUUUGACUUUUUAAUAUCUUUACCCUACCCAUCUGCCAAAUCGCCUAGGAGACCUAUCAUAUUCAUACUAUGUAAUUGAUAUUUUUCAAGGAAUAUCAUCAAUAUUUCAUGAGUGUGAAACAGAAUUCUAAACCUCAAAAGAAUUUAUGUGCUUAAGCAUUUGUGUCACAAAAUCUUGCAGACCACUGGUAAGAAGGAGAAAUAGAUCUUAUUGAUAAUGAUGCCACAAUAACAAGCAAACUUUGGCUCAUGAUAUAUUCUUGCCUUAUUCUAAUUAAGAAACAAAUCAAAAAGAGGCUAAUGACAAAUUGUUGUAUUUCAAACUGUAAAAUGUCACAAUGGGGGGCACACACACACAUUCACAUUCUCUAGCAUACAUAGUUAUGGAACAGUGCUAUAAGAUAUUGUGGUUUGAGUAGGGGAGAAAUGAUAUUUAUCUUAAGUAGACUCAAAUGAUGAUACUGCAGUGACAUUUAUUUUUCAUUAUUAUUAGAUAAUUUCCAUUCCCUGGAAAUAUUUAGAGGCUGAACCUCCAAUCACUUUUGAUUUAUUAUCCUGCUAAAUGGUACAUUUUUAUGUGAAAGCAAUAGAUUAUGAUGAAACGAAAACAUGUAAAUUCACAACUGUCAGCUUAUCUUGCCCGAUCAACAUACCUUUCUCAACUGUUACCCAUAUCAACUUUCCAUUAUUUUGAUGUUUAUGGAUCAUCUGCAUAUGAUAUCCAGCCUCCAAUAGCAUAGACAGUCUUAAAACAAUCAACCCAAAGUGGUAUGUUUUAAGAUAAAGAGAGAAAACAAAAAGUUAUACUUACCUGAGCUGAUAAACCUAAGGAUCAGUGUUAGCAAAAAUGUCAUAUUUUCAGAACGCAUUUUUUAAAAAAUUUAAUCUUAGUUUCUCCUGUAG